AUUGAACGCUGGCGGCAUGCUUUACACAUGCAAGUCGAACGGCAGCGCGGGCUUCGUCCUGGCGGCGAGUGGCGAACGGGUGAGUAAUACAUCGGAACGUGCCCAGUAGUUGGGGAUAGCUCGGCGAAAGCCGGCUUAAUACCGCAUACGACCUGAUGUUGAAAGCGGGGGAUCUUCGGACCUCGCGCUAUUUGAGCGGCCGAUGGCAGAUUAGCUAGUUGGUGGGGUAAAGGCCUACCAAGGCGACGAUCUGUAGCUGGUCUGAGAGGACGACCAGCCACACUGGGACUGAGACACGGCCCAGACUCCUACGGGAGGCAGCAGUGGGGAAUUUUGGACAAUGGGCGAAAGCCUGAUCCAGCAAUGCCGCGUGUGUGAUGAAGGCCUUCGGGUUGUAAAGCACUUUUGGCGGGAACGAAAAGGACUGUGCCAAUACCACGGUUCGAUGACGGUACCCGCAGAAUAAGCACCGGCUAACUACGUG
rnacentral:rRNA from 1 species